CUUUAGUGUCUUUUAUUUUGAAAGAGAUUUCAUUUGAAUGUAUUUAAUUAUUUUUGUAAUUUUAUGUUUUUCUUAUCAAUCCAUAUAAUUUUCAUUUUUUUAUAUAGCACAAGGAAAGAAAACAAUGUACUUUGUAAAAAGUUAGUUUACAUUGGUGUGACGUCACUUAGAGGCGCUGUUACGUCUGACUCUCAGUUCUACAUGUGACUGAAGAGAGUCAGACAGACUGUUGGUGAGAGGAUGUGUGUGUGAUCCCGUGUCUUUUGUUUAAUAAACUGCAGGUAUGUAAACCACAAACCACUAUACGAUCACAUAAUUGAGUGAAAUUGGCUAAAUAUUGUCUGAUAAGUGUGUUUCAUGUGUAAUGUAAAGGAAAAGUGUACAUGUUGAGUUAAUUUUAUUUUCUAUAAUUUUUAUGUAUAUUUGUGUAAGAAAUGUAAGAGACUAUCAGGUGGACUUUAUUCAGGACUCUCAGUUCUACAUGUGACUGAAGAGAGUCAGACAGACUGUUGGUGAGAGGAUGUGUGUGUGAUCCCGUGUCUUUUGUUUAAUAAACUGCAGACGUGGUUCACCAAAGA